rnacentral:rRNA from 1 species
UACGUAGGUGGCAAGCGUUGUCCGGAAUUAUUGGGCGUAAAGCGCGCGCAGGCGGUCUCUUAAGUCUGAUGUGAAAGCCCACGGCUCAACCGUGGAGGGUCAUUGGAAACUGGGAGACUUGAGUGCAGAAGAGAAGAGCGGAAUUCCACGUGUAGCGGUGAAAUGCGUAGAGAUGUGGAGGAACACCAGUGGCGAAGGCGACUACCUGGCCCAUUCUUGACGCUGAGGCGCGAAAGCUAGGGGAGCGAACGGG